rnacentral:rRNA from 1 species
AAGCGUGGAACCUUACCAGGUCUUGACAUCCUCUGACACUCCUAGAGAUAGGACGUUCCCCUUCGGGGGACAGAGUGACAGGUGGUGCAUGGUUGUCGUCAGCUCGUGUCGUGAGAUGUUGGGUUAAGUCCCGCAACGAGCGCAACCCUUGAUCUUAGUUGCCAGCAUUAAGUUGGGCACUCUAAGGUGACUGCCGGUGACAAACCGGAGGAAGGUGGGGAUGACGUCAAAUCAUCAUGCCCCUUAUGACCUGGGCUACACACGUGCUACAAUGGACGGUACAAACGGUUGCCAACCCGCGAGGGGGAGCUAAUCCGAUAAAACCGUUCUCAGUUCGGAUUGUAGGCUGCAACUCGCCUACAUGAAGCCGGAAUCGCUAGUAAUCGCGGAUCAGCAUGCCGCGGUGAAUACGUUCCCGGGCCUUGCACACACCGCCCGU